rnacentral:rRNA from 1 species
UUGAACAGCUGGCGGCAGGCCUAACACAUGCAAGUCGAAGGCGGCAGCACAGCAGUAGCAAUACUGUGGGUGGCGAGUGGCGGACGGGUGAGUAAUGCAUCGGGAUCUACCCAAACGUGGGGGAUAACGUAGGGAAACUUACGCUAAUACCGCAUACGUCCUAAGGGAGAAAGCGGGGGACCGAAAGGCCUCGCGCGGUUGGACGAACCGAUGUGCGAUUAGCUAGUUGGUAGGGUAAUGGCCUACCAAGGCGACGAUCGCUAGCUGGUCUGAGAGGAUGAUCAGCCACACUGGAACUGAGACACGGUCCAGACUCCUACAGGAGGCAGCAGUGGGGAAUAUUGGACAAUGGGCGCAAGCCUGAUCCAGCAAUGCCGCGUGUGUGAAGAAGGCCUUCGGGUUUGUAAAGCACUUUUAUCAGGAGCGAAAUACUACUGGCUAAUAACCGGUGGGGCUGACGGUACCUGAGGAAUAAGCACCGGCUAACUUCGUGCCAGCAGGCCGCGGUAAUACGAAGGGUGCAAGCGUUAAUCGGAAUUACUGGGCGUAAAGCGUGCGUAGGCGGUGAGUUAAGUCUGUUGUGAAAUCCCCGGGCUCAACCUGGGAAUGGCAAUGGAUACUGGCUCGCUAGAGUGUGAUAGAGGAUGGUGGAAUUCCCGGUUGUAGCGGUGAAAAUGCGUAGAGAUCGGGAGGAACAUCAGUGGCGAAGGCGGCCAUCUGGAUCAACACUGACGCUGAGGCACGAAAGCGUGGGGAGCAAACAGGAUUAGAUACCCUGGUAGUCCACGCCCUAAACGAUGGCGAACUGGAUGUUGGUCUCAACUCGGAGAUCAGUGUCGAAGCUAACGCGUUAAGUUCGCCGCCUGGGGGAGUACGGUCGCAAGACUGAAACUCAAAGGAAUUGACGGGGGCCCGCACAAGCGGUGGAGUAUGUGGUUUAAUUCGAUGCAACGCGAAGAACCUUACCUGGCCUUGACAUGUCUGGAAUCCUGCAGAGAUGCGGGAGUGCCUUCGGGAAUCAGAACACAGGUGCUGCAUGGCUGUCGUCAGCUCGUGUCGUGAGAUGUUGGGUUAAGUCCCGCAACGAGCGCAACCCUUGUCCUUAGUUGCCAGCACGUAAUGGUGGGAACUCUAAGGAGACUGCCGGUGACAAACCGGAGGAAGGUGGGGAUGGACGUCAAGUCAUCAUGGCCCUUACGGCCAGGGCUACACACGUACUACAAUGGUCGGUACAGAGGGUUGCAAUACCGCGAGGUGGAGCCAAUCCCAGAAAGCCGAUCCCAGUCCGGAUUGGAGUCUGCAAACUCGACUCCAUGAAGUCGGAAUCGCUAGUAAUCGCAGAUCAGCUAUGCUGCGGUGAAUACGUUCCCGGGCCUUGUACACACCGCCCGUCACACCAUGGGAGUGAGUUGCUCCAGAAGCCGUUAGUCUAACCGCAAGGGGGACGACGACCACGGAGUGGUUCAUGACUGGGGUG